rnacentral:rRNA from 1 species
UGGGGAAUCUUGGACAAUGGGCGCAAGCCUGAUCCAGCCAUGCCGCGUGCGGGAUGAAGGCUCUCGGGUUGUAAACCGCUUUCAGCAGGAACGAAAAUGACGGUACUUGCAGAAGAAGGUGCGGCCAACUAUGUGCCAGCAGCCGCGGUGAUACAUAGGCACCAAGCGUUGUCCGGAUUUAUUGGGCGUAAAGAGCUCGUAGGUGGUUCGGUAAGUCGGGUGUGAAAACUUUGGGCUCAACCCAAAGCCUGCAUCCGAUACUGCUGUGACUAGAGUUCGGUAGGGGAGCGGGGAAUUCCUAGUGUAGCGGUGAAAUGCGCAGAUAUUAGGAGGAACACCGGUGGCGAAGGCGCCGCUCUGGGCCGAUACUGACACUGAGGAGCGAAAAGGAUUAGAUACCCUCGUAGUCCCUG